rnacentral:rRNA from 1 species
AACGAACGCUGGCGGCAUGCCUAACACAUGCAAGUCGAACGACACCUUCGGGUCUAGUGGCUCACGGGUGCGUAACGCGUGGGACCCUGCCCUUAGGUUCCGAAUAACUCCUCGUCAGGGGUGCUAAUACCGGAUAAUGUCCUCGGACCACAGAUUCAUCGCCUUUGGAUGAGCCCGCGUUGGUUUAGCUAGUUGGUAGGGUAAAAGCCUACCAAGGCGACGAUCCAUAGCUGGUCUGAGAGGAUGAGCAGCCACACUGAGGCGGAGACACGGCCCAGACUCCUACGGGAGGCAGCAGUGGGGAAUAUUGGACAAUGGGCGAGAGCCUGAUCCAGCAAUGCCGCGUGAGUGAUGAAGUCGUUAGGGUUGUAAAGCUCUUUUACCCGGGAUGAUAAUGACAGUACCGGGAGAAUAAGCUCCGGCUAACUCCGUG